GCCUCUGGUCCUCCUCUGCAGCCAGCUCAGCGUGACCAGCAGGCCACGUGAUUCCUGUACAUUGAGGCCUAAUUGAUGAGGUUUUGAUGCUUAAAUGGAGUGCUGAUUGCAGGAGUUGCAAGGAGCUGCUGCCAGCCAGGGCUCAGAGGAAAGCCCUUGAGAGUGGAGUAAGCCACAGAUGGCAAGAUGCUGAGGAACUUGAGGAAUUUGUACAGGAGUCAUAAAGAGUCGGGAGCUACAGAAUCGAGUGGGAGAAACUAGGAAGACUGCAGAGCAAUGGACAACUCUGACUUUAUAAAUGGUUACCUGCCAUGGAGAUUUGGAGGAAAGGAAUCUGGUAUUUACACGAAGAUUAAAGUACCAGUCAUUACAGUGAAUUAGACCUCCAAGUAAUAGCACUCCAGUUUCUAUGGAAGAAGAGCCAGUCCAGGACAUAUCUUCAUUGGCAACUUGAGAUGACCUUGGCCUUAGUCCCAAAUCUUGCUGUGUAGAUUAAAAGCAUACCUUUGGACCUGCGCUAGGAUCUCAUCUUCCCCACUUUCCAACUGUGCAGCCUCACUUGGGUUAUCUAACCUCUUUGUUUCUCAUUAGCGAAAUGGGAUCAAGU